rnacentral:lncRNA from 1 species
CACCAACUUGACAUGGCAACUUAGCGAGACCCUGUCUUAAAAUAAAAAAUGAAAAAAGCUGAGGAUAUGGCUCAGUGGUAAAGCUCCUCUGGGUUCAAUCAUGAAAAAAGAAAUUGUUUUCAAACCUAUGUUAUUUGAUGCCAUGUUGUAUGCCUGUAGUUCCAGUGUGUGGGAGACUGGGGCAAGAGGAUCACUUGAGUCCGGGAGUUCAAGGCCAACCCCAUCUAUGAAUGAAUGAAUGAAUGAAAGAAACCUACUUGAGAGUCAUUGAGGAUUAUAAGUAAUGUUUGGCAAAUGGUUGCUAUUAAUCUUUGAGUUUAAGAAACCUUAAUUAUUCUCUUGCUAAAUUUUAACUUGACACUUAUUUAAAUAUUUAUUUUUUAGUUCCGGUUAGACACAAUACCUUUGUUUUAUUUAUUUAUUUUUAUGUUGUUCUGUGGAUUGAACCCAGGACCUUGCACUUGCUAGGCAAGUACUCUACCACUGUGCCACAACCCCAGCCCCUUAACUUGACAUUUUAUCUGAGUGUUUACUACUAAUAGGCUAUUGUGCUCCUGGAUUUUCCAGUUGUUAGAGAUGUUAUUGAAACACAUUUGCCUUUUGAAAAAUGACCAUAGUUGUGCUCUUGGAUAUCAAGUCCCAAAGUUUAGUUUCCCCUCUUCCUUUGUC